AGUGAACGCUGGCGGUAGGCCUAACACAUGCAAGUCGAACGGCAGCACAGGAGAGCUUGCUCUCUGGGUGGCGAGUGGCGGACGGGUAAGGAAUACAUCGGAAUCUGCCCAGUCGUGGGGGAUAACGUAGGGAAACUUACGCUAAUACCGCAUACGACCUUCGGGUGAAAGAGGGGGAUCGCAAGACCUCUCUCGAUUGGAUGAGCCGAUGUCGGAUUAGCUAGUUGGCGGGGUAAUGGCCCACCAAGGCGACGAUCCGUAGCUGGUCUGAGAGGAUGAUCAGCCACACUGGAACUGAGACACGGUCCAGACUCCUACGGGAGGCAGCAGUGGGGAAUAUUGGACAAUGGGCGCAAGCCUGAUCCAGCCAUACCGCGUGGGUGAAGAAGGCCUUCGGGUUGUAAAGCCCUUUUGUUGGGAAAGAAAUCUUUCAGGCUAAUACCCUGGGAGGAUGACGGUACCCAAAGAAUAAGCACCGGCUAACUUCGUG
rnacentral:rRNA from 1 species